rnacentral:misc_RNA from 1 species
GAUGAAGAACGUAGCGAAAUGCGAUAAGUAAUGUGAAUUGCAGAAUUCAGUGAAUCAUCGAGUCUUUGAACGCACAUUGCGCCCCCUGGUAUUCCGGGGGGCAUGCCUGUCCGAGCGUCAUUGCUGCCCUCAAGCACGGCUUGUGUGUUGGGCCCCGCCCCCCGGCUCCCGGGGGGCGGGCCCGAAAGGCAGCGGCGGCACCGCGUCCGGUCCUCGAGCGUAUGGGGCUUCGUCACCCGCUCCGUAGGCCCGGCCGGCGCCCGCCGGCGACCCCCCUCAAUCUUUUCAGGUUGACCUCGGAUCAGGUAGGGAUACCCGCUGAACUUAAGCAUAUCAUAAGCGGAGGA